GACGAACGCUGGCGGCGUGCUUAACACAUGCAAGUCGAACGCUGAAGCACCAGCUUGCUGGUGUGGAUGAGUGGCGAACGGGUGAGUAAUACGUGAGUAACCUGCCCUUGACUCUGGGAUAAGCCCGGGAAACUGGGUCUAAUACUGGAUGCUACAUGUCACCGCAUGGUGGUGUGUGGAAAGGGUUUACUGGUCUUGGAUGGGCUCACGGCCUAUCAGCUUGUUGGUGAGGUAAUGGCUCACCAAGGCGACGACGGGUAGCCGGCCUGAGAGGGUGACCGGCCACACUGGGACUGAGACACGGCCCAGACUCCUACGGGAGGCAGCAGUGGGGAAUAUUGCACAAUGGGCGAAAGCCUGAUGCAGCGACGCCGCGUGAGGGAUGACGGCCUUCGGGUUGUAAACCUCUUUCAGCAGGGGAGAAGCCACAAGUGACGGUACCUGCAGAAGAAGCGCCGGCUAACUACGU
rnacentral:rRNA from 1 species